UUUCCAUCCGAAUGUUCAUCCAAGAAACAUCUCAGCACUUUCAAACUACUUGCCAAUCAUCUUCUGUCUUUAAAUCUACAACAUUAAAUGCGAAAACAUCGGUUACAUGCCCAGUACCGGUGAGAAAUCUGGAGGAAUUUGCUACGCCAAUUUUCAAUGCACUCAUUUCGCUCAUGGAAAUGGAUACUGUUUCAUGUUUAGCUAUUUCAGAGGAUUGUUUUCCGAGCAUGAAGCAGGGUGGACUUGUGGUUACAUUCCCAGUCGUCUCAAUUUAGUCGGAUAAGCAGUUGAACUAUACAAAGGAAAUAUAGAACCGCGGCUUUGAAAACGCCAAAAAUCAUGUUCGGAAAAUAUGGACACAAAAAUGUAUUAUGCUAUUGAUUCCCUCAACAAUAACAAAAAAAGGAAUUGGGAUUUUAUAGUUUUCAUCUAGUUGUCA